rnacentral:rRNA from 1 species
UUUUGAAGAAUUUCGGUGGAGGAUGACUUCGCGGCCUAUCAGCUAGUUGGUGAGGUAAUGGCUCACCAAGGCAACGACGGGUAGCCGGCCUGAGAGGGCGACCGGCCACACUGGGACUGAGACACGGCCCAGACUCCUACGGGAGGCAGCAGUGGGGAAUAUUGGGCAAUGGAGGAAACUCUGACCCAGCGACGCCGCGUGCGGGAUGAAGGCCUUCGGGUUGUAAACCGCUUUCAGUAGGGAAGAAGCGAAAGUGACGGUACCUACAAAAGAAGCACCGGCUAACUAUGUGCCAGCAGCCGCGGUAAUACAUAGGGUGCAAGCGUUGUCCGGAAUUAUUGGGCGUAAAGAGCUCGUAGGUCGUUUGUUACGUCGGAUGUGAAAACCUGAGGCUCAACCUCAGGCCUGCAUUCGAUACGGGCAAACUAGAGUUUGGUAGGGGAGACUGGAAUUCCUGGUGUAGCGGUGGAAUGCGCAGAUAUCAGGAGGAACACCAAUGGCGAAGGCAGGUCUCUGGGCCAAUACUGACACUGAGGAGCGAAAGUCUGGGGAGCGAACAGGAUUAGAUACCCUGGUAGUCCAGACCGUAAACGGUGGGCACUAGUUGUGGGAACCUUCCACGGUUUCUGCGACGCAGCUAACGCAUUAAGUGCCCCGCCUGGGGAGUACGAUCGCAAGAUUAAAACUCAAAGGAAUUGACGGGGCCCCGCACAAGCAGCGGAGCAUGCGGCUCAAUUCGACGCAACGCGAAGAACCUUACCAAGGCUUGACAUAUAGGGAAAAGUGGCAGA